rnacentral:snRNA from 1 species
GUACUACUUCAGUAGUGCAUAUACUAAAAUUGGAACGAUACAAAGAAGAGUAGCAUGGCCCUGCCAAAGGAUGACACGCAAAUUCGUGAAGCGUUCCAAAUCUUC